GCGCACGCAGGCGGUUUGUUAAGUCAGAUGUGAAAUCCCCGGGCUCAACCUGGGAACUGCAUCUGAUACUGGCAAGCUUGAGUCUCGUAGAGGGGGGGAGAAUUCCAGGUGUAGCGGUGAAAUGCGUAGAGAUCUGGAGGAAUACCGGUGGCGAAGGCGGCCCCCUGGACGAAGACUGACGCUCAGGUGCGAAAGCGUGGGGAG
rnacentral:rRNA from 1 species